GGCCUGUGAUGACUAUGGCUGCAGGAGCUGCUCAUGAAUCCUGAAUGCUGCUGGCCUGACUGAGGCACAAAUGGGACCAUAACAGGUGUGGCAGGUGAUAUCGCCCCAGGGGCCUGGACCAUCUACUCCCAAUCAUCCCUGCAUUCAUCAUGGACAAAUACCAUUCCAUGGCUGGGAGAGAAAGCACUCCUCAGAUCUGAUAUUUGUUGUUUUGUUUUUCUUUUUCUUGUCCCAGAGGAAAAGUGUUGAUUUAUAUUCCUUCCACAGCUGUCACAAUUUGUGAUUUACUUGGUGUCUGGUGGCUGUCACCUCUUGAAUGGCACAUGUCGCUGGCACUUCUCUCCUGUAAUUUCUUCAAAUAUGGGGUGCAUCCACACCCCACUCUGAUAAAUUUGCCAAUCAUCUGUACAUAAUUAAACUAUUUUCCGAUGAAAAAAAAUAAAAAAUAAA
rnacentral:lncRNA from 1 species